UACAGAGACUGCAAGCGUUAUUCGGAUUCACUGGGCGUAAAGGGUGCGCAGGCGGCCAAGUGUGUGAGGUGUGAAAGCCCGGGGCUUAACCCCGGAAUUGCACCUCAAACUACUUGGCUAGAGCAUUGGAGAGGGUAGCAGAAUUCACGGUGUAGCAGUGAAAUGCGUAGAUAUGUGGAGGAACACCGAUGGCGAAGGCAGCCCCCUGGGUCAAGACUGACGCCUCAUGCACGAAAGCGUGGGGAGCAAACAGG
rnacentral:rRNA from 1 species